rnacentral:ncRNA from 1 species
CAAAACACGUCGAUAGGAUAAGUACAAUUUUAAUUUUGCAAAGCGAGCAUCGUUAGGUGAAAGGAUGCCAUAAUUUAAAAUUUGGAAAAUCAGCCUUGAGUGGCAAGUGCAAUAUGAGUGCUUGUUGGUAGCUCCCAUUAUAGAGCUGGGGUAUUACUGUAACGAGAGUACAGUAGCACCCGGCAAGUUUAGUUUCGGUAACGAAGCUAAUAAACUAAGGUGGUAACGCGUUUUUAACGUCCUUAUU